CUCCUACGGGAGGCAGCAGUGAGGAAUAUUGGGCAAUGGGCGAAAGCCUGACCCAGCCACGCCGCGUGAGUGAUGAAGGCCUUCGGGUCGUAAAGCUCUGUGGGGAGGGACGAAAAAUCUCCAUUCGAAUAGGAUGGAGACCUGACGGUACCUCCUUAGCAAGCACCGGCUAACUCUGUGCCAGCAGCCGCGGUAAUACAGAGGGUGCGAACGUUGCUCGGAUUUACUGGGCGUAAAGCGCGUGUAGGCGGACUCGCAAGUCGGUUGUGAAAUCCCUGGGCUUAACCUAGGAACUGCAUCCGAAACUGCUUGUCUUGAGUAAUGGAGAGGGUGGCGGAAUUCCCGGUGUAGAGGUGAAAUUCGUAGAUAUCGGGAGGAACAUCAGUGGCGAAGGCGGCCACCUGGACAUUUACUGACGCUGAGACGCGAAAGCGUGGGGAGCAAACAGGAUUAGAUACCCUGGUAGUCCACGCCGUAAACGAUGAGCAUUAGGUGCAGCGGAUAUUGACCUCUGCUGUGCCGUAGCUAACGCGUUAAAUGCUCCGCCUGGGGAGUACGGCCGCAAGGCUAAAACUCAAAGGAAUUGACGG
rnacentral:rRNA from 1 species